rnacentral:rRNA from 1 species
UAGGGAAUUUUUCACAAUGAGCGAAAGCUUGAUGGAGCAAUGCCGCGUGAACGAUGAAGGUCUUUAAGAUUGUAAAGUUCUUUUAUUUGGGAAGAAUGACUUUAGCAGGUAAUGGCUAGAGUUUGACUGUACCAUUUUGAAUAAGUGACGACUAACUAUGUGCCAGCAGUCGCGGUAAUACAUAGGUCGCAAGCGUUAUCCGGAUUUAUUGGGCGUAAAGCAAGCGCAGGCGGAUUGAAAAGUCUGGUGUUAAAGGCAGCUGCUUAACAGUUGUAUGCAUUGGAAACUAUUAAUCUAGAGUGUGGUAGGGAGUUUUGGAAUUUCAUGUGGAGCGGUGAAAUGCGUAGAUAUAUGAAGGAACACCAGUGGCGAAGGCGAAAACUUAGGCCAUUACUGACGCUUAGGCUUGAAAGUGUGGGGAGCAAAUAGGAUUAGAUACCCUAGUAGUCCACACCGUAAACGAUAGAUACUAGCUGUCGGGGCGAUCCCCCCGGUAGUGAAGUUAACACAUUAAGUAUCUCGCCUGGGUAGUACAUUCGCAAGAAUG